GAACGCCCUCCCCCCUCACCCAGGAAGAGGAGCUGGUAUCAGGCACANCCAAAGCCCACAACACCUAGCUUCGCCACACCCACAAGGGUACUCAGCAGUGAUAAACAUUGACCAUAAGCGACAGCUUGAAUCAGCCACGGUAAAGAGGGCCGGCAAAUCCGGUGCCAGCCGCCGCGGCUACACCGUUAGGCCCAAGUUGGUGUACUCCGGCGUUAAGCGUGGUUAAAGUCAUACCAUAAAUUAGAGCCAAACUUCAACCAAGUUGUGACACACUUGUUAUUAGAAGGNUCAAAACGAAAGUUACUCUAACCAACCCACUUGACGCCACGACAAUUAGAGCACAAACUGGGAUUAGGUACCCCACUAUGUCUAACUGUAAAUUAUUCACUUACGCUAAAACCGCCAGGGAAUUACGAGCCAAAGCUUAAAACCCAAAGGACUUGACGGUGUCCCACCCACCUAGAGGAGCCUGUUCUAUAAUCGAUUCCCCCCGAUAAACCUCACCACUUCUAGCCANCUCAGCCUGUAUACCUCCGUCGUAAGCUUACCAUGUGAACGAAUCCAGUGAGCCUAAAGGCCAUUCCACCUAUACGUCAGGUCAAGGUGCAGCUAACGAACUGGGAAGAAAUGGGCUACAGUCUCUACCAUAGAACCAACGAAAGACUACAUGAAACAGUCGCNUGAAGGCGGAUUUAGCAGUAAAAAGAAAAUAGAGAGUUCUUUUUAAUUAGGCGCUGGGACGCGUACACACCGCCCGUCACCCUCUUCAAAUACAAACAAACGUCAAUGACACCAAACAAUACAACAGAAGAGGCAAGUCGUAACACGGUAAGCGUACUGGAAAGUGCGCUUGGAUNAA
rnacentral:ncRNA from 1 species